rnacentral:rRNA from 1 species
GUGGGGAAUAUUCCGCAAUGGACGAAAGUCUGACGGAGCAACGCCGCGUGAGUGAUGAAGGUUUUCGGACUGUAAAGCUCUGUUGUUUGGGACGAAAGUGCCUGUUGCGAACAGUUACGGGUAUUGACGGUACUAAACGAGGAAGCCACGGCUAACUACGUGCCAGCAGCCGCGGUAAUACGUAGGUGGCAAGCGUUGUCCGGAAUUAUUGGGCGUAAAGAGCAUGUAGGAGGGAAUCUAAGUCUGUUGUUAAAAUGCGGGGCUCAACCCCGUAUUGCGAUGGAAACUGGGUUUCUUGAGUGCAGGAGAGGAAAGGGGAAUUCCCAGUGUAGCGGUGAAAUGCGUAGAUAUUGGGAGGAACACCAGUGGCGAAGGCGCCUUUCUGGACUGUGUCUGACGCUGAGAUGCGAAAGCCAGGGUAGCGAACGGGAUUAGAAACCCCGGUAGUCC